CCAAUAGCGUAUAUUAAAGUUGUUGCAGUUAAAAAGCUCGUAGUUGAAUUUCGGGAUCAAUAUGUCGGUCGUGCCAUUGGUACGUACUGGUAUCAUUGAUUUCUCCUUUCUGACGAACCAUGAUGUCAUUAAUUUGGUGUUAUGGGGAGUUAGGACUGUUACUUUGAAAAAAUUAGAGUGUUUAAAGCAGGCAUUAGCUUGAAUACAUUAGCAUGGAAUAAUGAAAUAGGACGUUUGACCCUAUUUUGUUGGUUUCUAGGAUCGACGUAAUGAUUAAUAGGGAUAGUUGGGGGCAUUAGUAUUCAAUUGUCAGAGGUGAAAUUCUUGGAUUUAUUGAAGACUAACUACUGCGAAAGCAUUUGCCAAGGAUGUUUUCAUUAAUCAAGAACGAAAGUUAGGGGAUCGAAGACGAUCAGAUACCGUCGUAGUCUUAACCAUAAACUAUGCCGACUAGGGAUCGGAUGAUGUUAAUUUUUUAAUGACUCAUUCGGCGCCUUACG
rnacentral:rRNA from 1 species